GCCAAAGCUCAUUAUCCAAACCCUGUGCACUCAUUCUUUCACUUUCCCUCUUCAUCUCCCUUUCUCUCACAUUCGUAUAAGACUCUCCUUCCUCACAAAUUGCAUCCCUUACAUCUCAUUCCUCUCUGUCUCACAUCUUUCUCUGUAACAGCGGUGUCGACAAGCGAAGGGCGGUAGCAAGGGGCGAGAACGCUGACGACGGGUUCAUGGAGCCGAUGACGACAGUGGGUAAGUUUACUUUCUCUCCGUCUCUCUCAACCACUUUCUUUCACUCUCUGUUUUGUAGGUCGGGGGUUGUGGAGCCGACGACGGCGGUGAGUGCGUGUUGCAGGCGGUGAGUGUGCGUGGAGCCGAAGACAACCGUGGGUUCGUGUGUGUGUGUGUGUGUGUUUUUUUUUUAAUUUGAACUGUGUAUUAUUGAAUGAGAACUAAACAUAUUUUUGGUAAAAAAUCGUGUUGUUUAUUUUUGCUAAUGUGUAUUAUUGUAUUUGUAUUGUGCAUUAUUUAUGAGAAUAAAAAAUAUUUUGGUAUCUUUAUUACCUCUUCACGCUAGUGGUAUUUAUGAAUGUCAUCAAGAUGAAUAUUGGGUUUGUAUUUUUCUCUAGAAUUUAAAAUGUAAUCAGCCUUGGCUUUAGGAAGAGGCACUCAACUUGGCUUUUGUUUCCAUUCAUCUCAGUUUGAGAAUCAGUUAGUUUUGUUGUGCAUUUUUUUGAUAUAUUUUGCUUGAGAAAAGUCUAGUCACCUAGUUUUUCUUCUGUUUCUUAAUAUAUUUCAGAUUUUUAUCACUAUAUUGCAAAUUGAGAGUUCUUUUAUUGAAUCAAUAAAAAUUGUUUCAUUGCUUAUUUUUUGUUUAGUUUUGAGAUCUAUUCAUAAAAGUUUUUGUGCUCUCACAAAUUGUCACUGCACUUUUAAUAUAUAUAUAUAUAUAUAUAGAUAUAUAAUAUGAAUGAUUUCCAUUUUAUUGUUGAUAACCUCUAUAUGAUUUAAAAUGUGUUUGAUAUAAUUCUUCAGUGACAUCAACAACAACUUUAAUUGAGUCCAACACAUGUGAAUAUUUUUUUUGACUAUAAGAUAAAACUAUAUUUGUUUUUACUUUAAGGUACUAAUCCUUCAUUUUUUCCACACAAUCUGGUUGAUAUAUCUUAACAACACCAUGAAUCAGAUAUGAUAAUUUUUUUAGUCCUUCUGUCAAAUUGGCUCUGUAUUUAUAUAUAUAUGUGUGUGUGUGUGUGUGUGUGUGUGUGUGAGUUUGAUACUAUGGUGUGAUAUAUAUACUUGAACCUCUAUUACUAGUAUCUAAACAUCUGUUAAUUGUGUAUGUGUUAUUCAAUUGUCAUAGAUAUAGGACCACAAAUCUAUUUGCAUGAUGUUGAUAACUACGAAAUGUUUAUGGUUAUCUUUCGGAUAUUUCAUUUGAGCUCCUUUUAUUCCAGAAAGUGUUGUGUAUAGGAGUUUUCUACUAAGUAUACAAGUGUCAUUUUUGAAGGGGAUGACUGCCUUGUUAUUGAUUCUCUUCUAGGCAGUCCUUUUGGGCUCUAGAAUAAUUUGGAUGUAUGCUAACCUUGUGUGCUAGGCUUUAGUCAAUGAAGAGUAGAUAAUCUUAAUACUGCUACGUAAUGUUUAUAUAUUUCUAUGUAGAAAUAGUUCAUUUGAUCAAGACUACUAGUAUCAUGUUACUGGCCAAGUUUUUAUUCAACCAAGCAAUAAUAUGAUCUUAUACUAGCAUUCAAUCACCACUUAUUUUUCUAUUUGUUGACUAUUAUGCUUAAUCAAUCAUUUGAUUUCACUGGCUUAGUUUGCUCAUGACUAUUAGUGGUACAAAGAUGGACUUUAGCAAUCAUAGAUAUGGAUACUGUACAAUAUUAAUAUAUGUAGAAUAUAUAUGUUGUGACUGUGAGCUGAAGUAAUACUAAUUUUUGUAGUAGUGUAUAUUGUAUGCUCUUGGUCUUUUGUUGCGAUUUCAUUGUUCUAUAUAUUUUUUUAAGUUAACAAUUGUUCAGAUUGUGUACUAGGACUAAGCCUAACAUAACAAUGCUUUGUCUACUUCUGAGACUUGGGAUAUAUACAUAUACUAAAUUUGUCAACAAAAAGUAAACUAGUUUGUCUUAUGCCUUGAUGUUGAUAUACAAUUUGUCUAUCUUAUGUAUACAUUGUAUAUUUAUAUUUUCAGUCUUGGCUUUGCAGAAACAUAUGACCUUUGGAAUCAAAUUUUGGAACUUAGAUUCUGUAAGAGACUAAGUAUUCUAGAUUUGGAGAGCUCUUGUUGUAAACCAAUUGUAUUUCUUAACAGUUGGAUUAAGUGUUUAUGUUUCUUUUUAUCUUUCUUUUGUUGAGUUUGGUGGUUUGACUCUAGGUGUAAAUACACAUUUUGCAUUUGCAUUUGAUUUGAUUUGAUUUGGAUUUUGUUGUAUUGAAAUUAAAAUUGUAUAAUCGUGGUUAACUGCAACAUUUCGCACCGCAAGUAGGUGCGGUGUGGUUUGCGGUUAAUGAUCUUUUUGCAUAUUAAUUUGUCAUAUUCUGCAGCGACAAAUGCAAGACUUGCAACUCUUGCCAACCUCAGCUGCCUACAAAGCGUGGCAAUUUUUAAUUUGGAUGGCUUGGCCCCUACUAGUUUUUCUACUGCCUUAUUGGCAUGUGAAGGGCUAACAAAAGGACACGUUUUUACAUUCUAUGGGCAACUUAAUGACACUGGCCGAGUUAAAUUCACAAUGUUGGGAGCUAAAGUUAGAAGGAAUCAUGUAUAAAUGCUUCAAUAAGUUCUUGUAGCAGAGAUGCUUAUGUUGGUAAUUUUCUUAUAGGUGACCUUAAAUGAA